rnacentral:rRNA from 1 species
AUGAGAGUCGAUAACACCCGAAGCCUGUGAGCUAACCUUAGGGAGGCAGCAGUCGAAGGUGGGGUUGAUGAUUAGGGUGAAGUCGUAACAAGGUAUC